UUCAUUAACACCUCUCUCCUGUUAGGCUCACGGGGGUGUCUGCUCCAUCUUUUGUCUCGCCAUUGUGACCUCUGACCUUGGACCUCCUUCCUGUUGCUUGUCUGUGAGGAGCUGAGGCUCAUUCUGCUGCUGGAUUCAAGGCUCUCGGCGGUGCUGGCAGUUCCCACCACGAUGGUACCGUUGUUGUCGGACGACUGGAGGGUUUUCUCAUCUUCUUGCGUCCCGAUGAGACUCAGCAUGGCUUUGUACAAGAACUGGUACUGCUCCUGUAAAACAAAAAGAGGUCAGAUUAAGGCUGCUUUCACGCCUGCCCUGAUUGGUUCGGUUCAAUCGACCUCAAGUUCAUUUGCCCCCUCAGUGCGGUUCGUUUGUGCAGGUGUGAACACAGCAAUCACACUCAGGUGUGAACACACCAACACAACCGGACCGAGAACUUCUUGAAGAGGUGGUCUCGGUCCGGUUCCAAAGGAACUCUGGUGCGGUUGGUUUGUGGUGAGAAGGUGUUGCGACCUGGAUGUGAAGCAACUGCAGUCACAUGACACAUUGUUUGGGUUAAACAUGAGCAUGUUACAGUCCUGGAGGAUUAUUAAUGUGCACCUCCUCCUGUACUGCCUUAAUAUGCACAUUCAGCACAUCCAAUGCAUCAAAACAUUGUUUUCUAGUUGGAGCCGCGUUUGCCUCAUUUUCAAACUGUAUGCUUUGACUAAAAUGAACAAUGACAGCAAUAUAGUCCACGAUGAGCAGCGCUAAAAUCAACCUGCGUAGUUGUCCCUCCAUUGUGACAUUAGAAAGUGUCACAUUUAUCUUGCAAGUGUACUCUUCUUCAACGUUUGCUUUACUUCCUGGAUUUUUCCCACAUGGAAAUUCUGACCAAUCAAGAGCAGCUUUCUCACACAAGGCAUUUGAUCUGGUCCUCUUGUAAAUGCUCAAGGUCUGAAAGCACCCUAAGAGAACUGUGUAGUUUGGUAAUAAUUAUGGAGGAAACAGGAGGAACGGCUGCAUUAUAAUCCAAGUAAAUAUUACUCCUUUAUCACUUGGCAGUAUACCGUUUGCAUCCAUAGCUGACCUGUGCUUAAUUACUCAAGCAACUAAUUAUUAUAUAAUUACCAAAUACUGCCUCCAUUUUAAAUAAAGUGUUACUAUGAUGCUGUGUUGUCCUGAAAAUAACAAAAAUUUGUGUUGCCAUCAUGACCGAAACUAUUUAUAAUACUAUGCCUUUAAAAAACACCUUUUAGCAUCCAAAAAUGAUGCCAUUGCGGGGCAUUCAAAAGUCAUUCUCAGACAGCUCUGUCUGACUGUUGGUGUUUCUUGACCCAUCAGACUUUUUUUGAUAUCACCAAGUUUCCAGAUCUCAACCAUUAGUUGGUGAAAAUUAUGUUGUUAGGAGAUGGAAACACUAUAAGAAUGACACCCAAGUUGUAAUAAACUGUAAUUAUUCUGUAUAGCAUAAAUGCUCUCAUAUGUAAGUCACAGGAGAAGUGUAACAGACAGUGCAUUAUCGUCAGCAUAUUGUGAGAUAGAAA